rnacentral:rRNA from 1 species
AAGCCGGGGCAACCUGGUGAGUAAAGUGGCGUACGGGUUUNGUAACACGUGGGUAAUCUACCUCCUUGUGUGGAAUAACCCUGGGAAACCGGGGCUAAUACCGCAUAAGCUCGAGAGAGGAAAGCAGCAAUGCGCUGGGAGAGGAGCCCGCGGCCGAUUAGCUAGUUGGCAGGGUAAAAGCCUACCAAGGCAAAGAUCGGUAGCCGGCCUGAGAGGGCACACGGCCACACUGGCACUGAAACACGGGCCAGACUCCUACGGGAGGCAGCAGUGGGGAAUCUUGCACAAUGGGGGAAACCCUGAUGCAGCGACGCCGCGUGAGCGAUGAAGCCCUUCGGGGUGUAAAGCUCUUUCGGCAGGGAAGAUUAUGACGGUACCUGCAGAAGCAGCUGCGGCUAACUACGUGCCAGCAGCCGCGGUAAUACGUAGGCAGCAAGCGUUGUUCGGAGUUACUGGGCGUAAAGGGUGUGUAGGCGGUUGCUUAAGUUUGGUGUGAAAUCUCCCGGCUCAACUGGGAGGGUGCGCCGAAUACUGAGUGACUAGAGUGCGGGAGAGGAAAGUGGAAUUCCUGGUGUAGCGGUGAAAUGCGUAGAUAUCAGGAGGAACACCGGUGGUGUAGACGGCUUUCUGGACCGUAACUGACGCUGAGACACGAAAGCGUGGGUAGCAAACAGGAUUAGAUACCCUGGUAGUCCACGCCCUAAACGAUGCAUAUUUGGUGUGGGUCAUUCAGUUGAUCCGUGCCGGAGCUAACGCGUUAAAUAUGCCGCCUGGGGAGUACAGUCGCAAGGCUGAAACUCAAAGGAAUUGACGGGGGCCCGCACAAGCGGUGGAGCAUGUGGUUCAAUUCGACGCAACGCGAAGAACCUUACCUGGGCUCGAACGGCUGGUCAACGGCGG